UAAAGUCAACAUACAGACCUAAAGAAAGAGGUUAUGAUCAAGGCUUUCCCAGGGCAGUUGCGCCUGUGGUUUUCCAGCAGCCUCAACGAGAGAAGCCACUAACUGAAACUCAGGACAUUACACCUGGUCAAGAGAAAAAGGAUGAAGGAGCAUCUUCAGUUCAAGGGCUUGCCCUGGAAGCUAAUCAACAGGAACUGGCUCAGCCAAAGACUGGGUGUGGGUGUGGAGGUGGUUCUGAUGUCAAGGGGAAGAGACUGCCAAAUCCAGAGCCCAUUGAAGAGCCGGAAGCAGGUGAAGGGCAACCACAGGUUUAAAUGAAGACAAACUGUAACCAUGCAGGCUGCUCUUGUGUU